GACGAACGCUGGCGGCGUGCCUAAUACAUGCAAGUCGAACGCAGUGGGGACGGGUGAGUAACACGUGGGUAACCUCCCAUCAGAGGGGAUAACACUUGGCAACAGGUGCUAAACCGAUACUGAUGGAUGAACCCGCGGUGGAUUAGCUAGUUGGUGAGGUAACGGCUCACCAAGGCCACGAUGCAUAGCAGGCCUGGGAGGAGGAUCGGACACACUGGGACUGAGACACGGCCCAGACGCCUACGGGAGGCAGCAGUGGGGAAUCUUGUGCAAUGGGCGAAAGUCUGAUCGAGCCAUGCCGCGUGUGUGAAGAAGGUUUUCGGAUCGUAAAACUCUUUUGUUAGAGAAGCGGUAUCUAACCAGAAAGCCACGGCUAACUCCGUGCCAGCAGCCGCGGUAAUAC
rnacentral:rRNA from 1 species